CUGACUACUUGGUGGGAUAUCCAUCGAACCGCGGCAGCGGGCUGACCCGCAUGGAGCAGCUGGGGUUCAGGUCUCAUCCCUGGGCAGACCGAGGCAGGCAGCUGGGGUGAUGGAACAGACACACUCAGUCCGAAAUUCCUCACUUAUGGAUAUAUAAAAACACCCAGUUUAAGCAACGGAGCUUAGUCAAGCUUU